rnacentral:pre_miRNA from 1 species
CAUCUUCCAGCACAGUGUUGGGUGGUCUAACCGGGAAGCUCCUAACACUGUCUGGUAAAGAUGGC